GACGAACGCUGGCGGCGUGCUUAACACAUGCAAGUCGAACGGAAAGGCCCUGCUUUUGUGGGGUGCUCGAGUGGCGAACGGGUGAGUAACACGUGAGUAACCUGCCCUUGACUUUGGGAUAACUUCAGGAAACUUGGGCUAAUACCUGAUAGGAGCUCCUGCUGCAUGGUGGGGGUUGGAAAGUUUCGGCGGUUGGGGAUGGACUCGCGGCUUAUCAGCUUGUUGGUGGGGUAGUUGCUUACCAAGGCUUUGACGGGUAGCCGGCCUGAGAGGGUGACCGGCCACAUUGGGACUGAGAUACGGCCCAGAAUGCUACGGGAGGCAGCAGUGGGGAAUAUGGCACAAUGGGCGGAAGCCUGAGGCAGCAACGACGCGUGCGGGAUGACGGCCUUCGGGUUGUAAACCGCUUUCGCCUGUGACGAAGCGUGAGUGACGGUAAUGGGUAAAGAAGCACCGGCUAACUACGUG
rnacentral:rRNA from 1 species